GAUGAACGCUGGCGGCGUGCCUAAUACAUGCAGGUCGAGCGAACAGACGAGGAGCUUGCUCCUCUGACGUUAGCGGCGGACGGGUGAGUAACACGUGGAUAACCUACCUAUAAGACUGGGAUAACUUCGGGAAACCGGAGCUAAUACCGGAUAAUAUAUUGAACCGCAUGGUUCAAUAGUGAAAGACGGUUUUGCUGUCACUUAUAGAUGGAUCCGCGCCGCAUUAGCUAGUUGGUAAGGUAACGGCUUACCAAGGCAACGAUGCGUAGCCGACCUGAGAGGGUGAUCGGCCACACUGGAACUGAGACACGGUCCAGACUCCUACGGGAGGCAGCAGUAGGGAAUCUUCCGCAAUGGGCGAAAGCCUGACGGAGCAACGCCGCGUGAGUGAUGAAGGUCUUCGGAUCGUAAAACUCUGUUAUUAGGGAAGAACAAAUGUGUAAGUAACUAUGCACGUCUUGGCGGUACCUAAUCAGAAAGCCACGGCUAACUACGUG
rnacentral:rRNA from 1 species